AUCAAAAACAUGUCUUCCUGAAAGAGAUUUGAGGUCAAGCCUGCUCAAUGAUUUUAUUUAAAUAGCUGCAGUAAAUUAACUGUACAAAGGUAGCAAAAUAAUUAGUUAAUUAAAUAUUAACGGGGAUGAAGGGUUUCAUAAAAAAUUAACUUUUUUAGUUAAAUAAUAUGAAUUUUAAUUUUGAAUUCAAAUGUUCAGAUUAGAUUAAGGGACGAUAAGACCCCAUAGAUUUUUAUAAUUAAUCUGGGGGAUUUUUUUAGUUUAAUUUUUUCCUCGGUCUAAUUGUUUUAAUGGGAUGUUAUAGAAAUGAUUGAAUUUUUUUUAAAAUGACAAUUUUUUUUGAUUUAGGGAUUAAUAGGAAUUAAUUUAGAGAAAAAUACCUUGGGGAUAACAGCAUAAUAUUUUUUUAAAGAUCUUAUUUGAGAAUUUGAUUAUGACCUCGAUGUUG
rnacentral:rRNA from 1 species